UUGCUUUGGCAGCACAUAUACUAAAAUUGGAAUGAUAUAGAGAAAAUUAGCGUGGCUCCUACUCAAGGAUGACACACAAAUUCGUGAAGCAUUCCAUAUUUUU
ensembl:snRNA U6 U6 spliceosomal RNA